rnacentral:tRNA from 1 species
GGGCCUGUAGCUCAGUUGGUUAGAGCACUCGCUUGAUAAGCGAGGGGUCGAUGGUUCAAGUCGUUCAGGCCCACCA